rnacentral:rRNA from 1 species
GACGAACGCUGGCGGCGUGCCUAAUACAUGCAAGUUGAGCGCUGAAGGUUGGUACUUGUACCGACUGGAUGAGCAGCGAACGGGUGAGUAACGCGUGGGGAAUCUGCCUUUGAGCGGGGGACAACAUUUGGAAACGAAUGCUAAUACCGCAUAAAAACUUUAAACACAAGUUUUAAGUUUGAAAGAUGCAAUUGCAUCACUCAAAGAUGAUCCCGCGUUGUAUUAGCUAGUUGGUGAGGUAAAGGCUCACCAAGGCGAUGAUACAUAGCCGACCUGAGAGGGUGAUCGGCCACAUUGGGACUGAGACACGGCCCAAACUCCUACGGGAGGCAGCAGUAGGGAAUCUUCGGCAAUGGACGAAAGUCUGACCGAGCAACGCCGCGUGAGUGAAGAAGGUUUUCGGAUCGUAAAACUCUGUUGGUAGAGAAGAACGUUGGUGAGAGUGGAAAGCUCAUCAAGUGACGGUAACUACCCAGAUAGGGACGGCUAACUACGUG